CCACAUACUAUACUUUCUGCUUCUCUGUUGCUCUUAUUUUUUGCCCUGGUGUCAUAGUUACUCAGGCCUCCUCUUAUUACAAAUUCAGAAAAAUAUGUAAAGAUAUAAAGUCAUACAGCCUUUGAGGUGUGGCUGGUAGAUGGGCCUCCAAAUCAGGGAAGCUGAGUAAGGCAAAGAGCCAAAAGCCAGAUCAACACCACCAACUUCCCAAAUUUUCCAACUGUUCUUUUAUAUUUCAUUACAUAUAGAAGAAGACUUUCUGGAAUGUACAUCUCAGCACAAACAUCGCAUUGGCAGAGGUAUAACUAUUUCAAUCCACUUGACUAUCUUCAAUUUGAUUGCUUCCUAAGGAAUGAAGAAAAAAAUGACAAUCAGGUUUAAGUCACAGGAUGAGGCAAAUCACAAUUAAUCAAUGGAUUAUAAGAUUGUUCUAAUGUGUGGCACAGGAUAGGCUGUCUUUCAAUCAUCUAUUGAGGAAAAAUGCUACACAUAAAAGAAACUGGCAAACAUUUAAAUACUUGGGUUAACUAGUUUAUGAAUAGAAUAGGAACAGAGGCGGUUUCAACCAUACACUCCCUGUUUUCUUCUAAGCUGUUAUUUUUUUUUUUUUGGCUAAAACAGACAUAAGCUGAGUUGUUCUGUGGCAAUAAACUACCCCCCAAAUUUUGGCAGUUUAAACAACUAUACAAGAUGAAGUUAAUUUGUCCACUAUACAAGACAUCUAGUGUUACUCAGGUAUUCUGCUGUACCUAAUUCUCUGUGGGAUCCAUAGUGUUGGAGGAAUCUCUCUAAAGAUUCAUAUUUGUUGUGGCUAAGAGAAAGGAGGGCCACAAACUGCUGUAUCUUAAACUCCUACCAGGAUAUCACACAAAUAACUUUCCCUCCCAUGUUCAUUUCUGUGGAGGAGCUGCUCAGAUUUAGUCCAACUGCAGUGUCUUAGGGAAAUAACAUUCCACCCGCAGGAGGGGACUCAGAUAUGGUUGGAUGGUAAAAGUGACCAUUCUGUCAAACCCAUUACCUUUCAGUGAUUUCUUCCCAUUUCUCUCCUUUGUGUAUAUCUUUUAAAUCACAUCAGCUUAAAAUUAGUGCUUGUGAAAGUCAUUUUCACUGGUUCUGAAGCAGGAUUGUCGAGAAAUAUUUUUCUGAUUUUGUUGACACAUUCCAGACAUAGGAGGCAACGAAAGACCCAGCUUAGGGCUGCCACUGCUCUAGAACUAGAGGUUUUUCUGCUUAAUGGUUUUACACUUAACCACUGAAUGUUGUACACCUUUCACCGAAAUGGCCAGUUUCCUCCUACUCUGUGAGCGACUAAAACAAGAUGGUGGCUUGAGGUAUGGACAAACCACUACUCAGAACAUCUGCCGUAACAUCUUCUGACAGCGCCCUGCUAAUUCCUGAAUAUCAUCUCCGUUCGUGAUGGAAACACAGCCUUCAUUUCAGCAAUUUUAACUGGUCUCCUUGGACGCCUGAACUCCCCUGAAGAUGUCUUUAGGUUGGAUCAUCCCUAAGUAGGGUCAAUUUGUUCAAGACCUAAAGGACUGUCUACAGACUGUCUCAUACCAGUGAAGGAAGUCGCCAAAUGGAAUUGAGCAGAAGCAACAAUCCCUUCGGACUUAAUGAAAGAGACCAAUGUGUAACGAUGUUCUUGCAGUGCAGCCCUUUCUCCUGAGACAAUGGAUAUACCACAGCUGUUGCCUGGUUUACCAUCCAUCCACUUUCUUGCUACAGCUACAUGCCCAGAAUUGUGUGUCCCACCGUUGUUAUUUAUAUAUACUAUGUA